CUUCGCUUCGCGGUCACACAGUCGUGAAGAGACGCGGGCGAGGUCGAGAGCUUAUAGAUUUAAGUGAGAGACAUUUGCCGUCUUUAAUUUAUUUUCACAGUAAAUCAGUUGACUAAUUAGAACAAUCGUGAAUAUUAUAUAUUUAUAAUUUAUAUCGCUAAUAAUUUAUAGUGAGAGCGGCCCUCUGCCUGCAAAGUUCAUUGUCAACAUGGAGGUUAAUAAUGCAGCGAAAAGCAAAAUCAACGUGGAUACAAAUGGAGCAAGAACAGGCUUUGAUCGAUUUCAUAAUUCAGGACCAGACUCCUUCUUUUCCACAAACAAGCCUCAGAAUAGCUUCAGAGACGGCGGAUUGAUGUCAUACAACCCAUUCUUGGACUGCCCGGUGCAAAACUCUGCACCACUCCCUUACACAGUUUGGCCAACUCAGGAAGAAGACUGUAAAUCAGUGUACUGGCCUCAAGUCAUAC
rnacentral:lncRNA from 1 species